rnacentral:rRNA from 1 species
UACGUAGGGGGCCAGCGUUGUCCGGAAUCAUUGGGCGUAAAGCGCGCGUAGGCGGCCAGACAAGUCCGGUGUGAAAGUCACAGGCUCAACCUGUGAAUGCCGCUGGAAACUGGCGGGCUAGAGUGUGGCAGAGGGGGGUGGAAUUCCGCGUGUAGCAGUGAAAUGCGUAGAGAUGCGGAGGAACACCGAUGGCGAAGGGCAGCCCCCUGGGCUAGCACUGACGCUCAGGCACGAAAGCGUGGGGAGCAAACAGG